rnacentral:tRNA from 1 species
AUUCUUAUAUUUAAAUUAUAAAAUUUAAAUUGCAAUUAAAAAUUAUUGGGGAUCCAAUUAAUUAAU